AUUGAACGCUGGCGGCAGGCCUAACACAUGCAAGUCGAACGAGUGGCGGACGGGUGAGUAAUGUCUGGGAAACUGACUGAUGGAGGGGGAUAACUAAUGGACACGGUAGCUAAUACCGCAUACCAUCGGAUGUGCCCAGAUGGGAUUAGCUAGUAGGGGGGGUAAAGGCUCACCUAGGCCACGAUCCCUAGCUGGGCUGAGAGGAUGACCAGCAACACUGGAACUGAGACACGGUCCAGACUCCUACGGGAGGCAGCAGUGGGGAAUAUUGAACAAUGGGCGAAAGCCUGAUGCAGCCAUGCCGCGUGUAUGAAGAAGGCCUUCGGGUUGUAAAGUACUUUCAGCGGGGAGGCGUUACCCGCAGAAGAAGCACCGGCUAACUCCGUGCCAGCCGCCGCGGUAAUAC
rnacentral:rRNA from 1 species